rnacentral:other from 1 species
AACCCCCUGCCGUGUCCGUGAUGGGGUUGGUUUCCUUGAACCAACAGAGAAUGAACGGGAGCCCUUAUACUUGCGUGGUGUGCACGCCCCGAGCCUGGCAAAGGGGUAUACCCUGAGCCCGUCGAAGGGAAGCCUAAAGCGCAUGCAGGGCCCCCACCUGCAAGGGCAGGUUCACGAGGAAACCAUCACACGGCACCGAGGUGGGGGGUUU